AGCUCCCGCCGUCCCUCUCUGAGGCUUGGCUGUCCGGUGUGUGAAGCGGGGCAUGCCGCUGUCCUCUCCGUCAUCGUCACCCACAGAAACCCCUCAAACCCCAGGCCGCCACCUGGCGCGGCGAAGCCUCCGGGCUGGGCCGCCGCUGCCGGUGAGACCUGAACUGUUCCUCUGAGCAAGCAGGAGAGGGCGCCACCUUCUCGGAGUUCGAAGGACACAUCAGAUUGUUACCUGGUUUUCUUUGGUUGGUGCCACUGUAGGUGUUCAAUGAAAAGAGAAACUGUUGUGUUGCUGCUCAAUCUUUCUGGAAACCAAUUUAAUAAAAUGCAUCAAGCAUCUUAAA